AUUGAACGCUGGCGGCAUGCUUUACACAUGCAAGUCGAACGGUAACAGGCCUUCGGGUGCUGACGAGUGGCGAACGGGUGAGUAAUGCAUCGGAACGUGCCCAGAGGUGGGGGAUAACGCAGCGAAAGCUGUGCUAAUACCGCAUGUGAUCUGAGGAUGAAAGCGGGGGACCAGGCAGCAAUGUUUGGCCUCGCGCCUUUGGAGCGGCCGAUGUCAGAUUAGGUAGUUGGCGGGGUAAAGGCCUACCAAGCCGACGAUCUGUAGCUGGUCUGAGAGGACGACCAGCCACACUGGGACUGAGACACGGCCCAGACUCCUACGGGAGGCAGCAGUGGGGAAUUUUGGACAAUGGGCGCAAGCCUGAUCCAGCAAUGCCGCGUGCGGGAAGAAGGCCUUCGGGUUGUAAACCGCUUUUGUACGGAACGAAAAGGCUCUGGCUAAUACCUGGGGCUGAUGACGGUACCGUAAGAAUAAGCACCGGCUAACUACGUG
rnacentral:rRNA from 1 species